UUUUCUCCUGGGAAGCUGAGACACCUCAGAGAAAAGGAAAACAAUUCCUAUCUCAUUUGCUUCUCCUGUGUUGUGCUCAUGUGGAAUGUGUUUGGAGAUUGUUUACCCACAAGUGAUUGUUCCAUUGGAUUCUUCUGUGAGAUGUUUUCACUCUUUGGCCAAUCAGGGCCAGGCUGCAUUGGGACUCUGGAGAGAGUAAGAAGUUUUCAUUAUCAUCUUUUUAGCAUUCAAUGCAGGAGAAGGAAAGGCAAAAACCAAUAAAGGUAGUUCAGUCAGAUGAUCCUACAUACAUGGAACACGUUUGACAGGUGGAAGCUGCCAUGGCAAACAGAGUUUGAGCUGUGCCUUUAGAGACUCUGCCCCCAGAGUGCUCAAGUGACUGUGUUUGAAAUCCCCUGGGGUCUUGGGCAGUAUUAAGUCUUAUGAAGUGUCUCAUACAAAAACCACGGAAAAAUUUUUCAGUGUUAGUAAAAUGCAGUGAUCUAGCCCCAGCUGCUGUCCACCAAGGCACAGUGGAGUGGAGUUAUCAACAAAUCCAGGUGUUUGGGAAAACUGUCUGAUUUUCUGCAUCGUGAUUUGGUUUGAAAUGUCUGUGUACUUCUGCUGCUUAACCUUUUCCUGCCAAAUGGAAAACACCCCAAAGUCACUCUCCCUGUAUUGAAGAAAAGCCUGUCAAUUAAAUGAAUGCAUUAAUGGCAACAAAAGCAGGGCCUGUCAAUUACUAGGAGCAUUAAUUAUUACAUUAAUAAUGACAUCGUUUAAAUUGUUCUAAAGGCAUAUUGGACAUUACAAUUCAUUAGUUUCAUUUCAGGUUUCAGGCAUGUGUGCUAAUUGAAUUAUACAUAUUUUGGCAUAGCUGAAUUCCUAUUAUGUUUCCAUUCCACCUAGUUCUCAUCUGUCUUUCCUGAAAAAAAUUAAAUAUUGCCAUAAAGGACAAUCUUUUGAAGCUGAAUAUUAAAUUAUGUAUUACACUGCAAACUGAACUGCAUAGUGAUAGAAAAAUUCUAAUUUUUCCAUAUUGUGAUUUUGAAACUCUGCAUAGUUUUCCCCUAGUGCUCUGCAUAUCAUGUUUGGUUUUUUUUUUUCCAUUGUGAAACAUCGAAUUAAAUAAUAAAUUAAAAUACAUUAUUA